rnacentral:rRNA from 1 species
GUAGUCCACGCCGUAAACGAUGGAUACUAGCUGUUUAUAUUCUAUGUUAUAAUAGGAUUGUAAGUGGCCAAGCGAAAGUGAUAAGUAUCCCACCUGGGGAGUACGUUCGCAAGAAUGAAACUCAAAGGAAUUGACGGGGGCCCGCACAAGCGGUGGAGCAUGUGGUUUAAUUCGAUGAUACGCGAGGGACCUUACCAAGGCUUAAAUGCAAUACGAAUAAUUUGGAAACAGAUUAGUCCAUAGGACGGAUUGCAAGGUGCUGCAUGGUUGUCGUCAGCUCGUGCCG